GGGGAAUGGCAUCCAGGUGGGUGGAGAAAUGUGAGCAGUCACUGAGGUGACAGCAUGAAGGGAGAGCUGACCAGCCAGAAGCCUGUUGUGCAUGCUGUCAGCAGACAGGCUUCACCUGUCAGCCCCUCCUGGAGGACCUGAGCUGCAGAGCUGCCUUACCCAAGGCCACUCCCUUCCCAGGGCAGCCCACAUCCGAUGACUGCUCCAGGGUUGCUUCCAAGGACACUCCUUAGUAAACAUCCUGUACACUAAACUCCAUCUUGGGGUUCUUCUCAGAGAACCCAAACUGUGACACCAUCAUGUGCUCAAGAGGAGGAGGGCUGGAAAUAUCUCCUGUGGAUCACUGAGGACCACCUUACUCACUAAAUUUAUACGUGGGACGCCUACCACAGCAUGGCUGCCAAGCAGUGCCAUGACCGCACCCGGGAUCCGAACCAGCGAACCCCGGGCCGCUGAGAAGGGGAACGUGCGAACUUAACCGCUGCGCCACCGGGCCGGCCCCCCUACACUUUAUUUUUAAUUUUCUCCUUUUCCCCCUCCUACUUCUCUGUUUGCUCCCUUUCUCAUUCACUGAUUCUCCUUCAUUUCCCCCUUCUCCAAUUCACCCUCUUCCUUCCUUCCCUCUACACACCUCUUUUGGUCCCUCCUUCCUCUAUGUCCACUUUCUUUUUGUCUUCACACCCUUUCUCUCCUAUUUUCUCAAUCUCCUUUUCUUUUCCAUUCCUCAGUCUCUCUCUCUUGCUCUCACUGUCCUUCUUUCUCUUCCUUUCAUCUACAAUGUACUGACUUCCUGUUUCUCUUUCCCGUCUCCCCUCCUUUUCUCUUUCUAAGAAUUUGUUGAUGAAACUAGAAGACUAAAAGGGGCUCCAUGAAAUCCUCAGCUGGAAGAAAAGAUGCGCGGAAGCAGUUCUGAUCACAGGCAGCCACUAAAUUUGAUUUGUAGCUAAUCUCAAAAUGUAGGAAAAGAUCUUCAAUUACAAAACUCGUAAAGUGUAAGGAUGAGGGAACCUGGCUGCAUUUUGAGUUUGACUAAUGGUUUCAAAGGGCUUUAAAAAGCUUGGCAUUUGCCAGCCUUCCUUUCUUCCCUUAAUCCUCAGACCCAUGAGUUUUUAUGGGAAACAUAAUCCUCUUUUCUGAUUCAUUUACACUUAGCUCAUCUGAGUAUUGUUUUGUGAAAACCAUCUGAAGUCCAAGAAGUUUUAUGAGAUCUUUAAAACUUGUUUUUUGAACCAGGAAGUUGUGU
rnacentral:lncRNA from 1 species